rnacentral:rRNA from 1 species
CCAAGGAGUCUGAGUAUAUUGCAAGCUUAAAAGUAUGUGAAUUCUUUAGAGCGUAAUGAAAGUGAAAACUUGCCUAGCAAGUACUUGUGGUGAUGGUUUCCCUUGGAAACAGGCAGCCACGGACGGUCAACCGAUUGUGGUUGCACUGCUCUGGAGUAAUAUGCUCAGGACCCGAAAGAUGGUGAUCUAUGCUUGGACAGGGUGAAGCCACGGGAAACCAUGGUGGAGGCCCGCAGCGGUUCUGACGUGCAAAUCGAUCGUCUGAUCCGAGUAUAGGGGCGAAAGACUAAUCGAACCAUCUA